CGACGUAACAGUCCCUACCUCUUUGCAGAGGCCCGCCCCGCCUUCAGCCCGUGGAUCCGGAGCGUUCCACUUAUCGUCUCUGGCACUGCGGCUACUGGAUGGCACGUCCUCCCUUGCCCCAGCCAACACGCUGGCCCUGAUUGUCACCAUUAAUGAGUGCCCAGAGUUCCCUGUCAGAGCUGGCGCCUCACUGCGUACUGGCUGCUGUCCAGAUCCCUGCUUGCCAGCCGCCCACUCACCAGCGGUGAGUGGGAGGGUCCAGUGGCCGAUGAUGGGGGUGGGUAUGCAAGGCUGGUGGCGUGGUGAAGAUGCAGCAUGUGGGGCUGGCCGCUCCUCCACCGGUCCGUCAGCGCAGCCCCUGCUGCAUGCCAGCUCUCGGCCAGCAGGGCCCCAUCCCAUUUCCAGCUGGCACUGGCUGUGCUCUGCGAGCUGUGGUAUCUGCUUCUCCUAAACUCUGCACCUCCCACUCAAGAAUUGAGGAACCUGGACCUGAACUUUCUUGGCAUGCCAGAGGCGAGGCUGAUAUUUUGUCUCUUACCACCAGGUUAUCAAGGAAGGGUGUGAGUAUAUUAAUCAAAAGCUUUAUACUAUAUAAUAUCACAUGUAUCUCUAAAACACUAUUAUUGCCUUUGUAACAAUGAUUAUUUUACCAUUUGAUUACUAUUUGAUUACUAUUCCACUUACCUCAAUAAAAGUCUUUAAGGCUACAUUUGUCUCAGUGUGAGCAUCCUUGUCAGACAUACCGAGAGUCCCUGUAAACUCUGUGUAGCCUGAUUCUGGGACAAGAACAUUAUUAUCUUCUGAUCAGAUUAACUGGCAAGUCUCUAACCCAUAUUAUCUAAAAUAAUAAUAUUAACCUCCUUAAAUCAGGCAACACUGACUUUUACUUGAAUUUGGCAUCACUACCCCCUGCCCUGUGAGUGAAGUUUAAUACAGGAUGCCCCCUGUUGCAAUUAUUAAUAAUAUUAGAAAUUAUGUAUAUGGGAAACCACCAGACACUAAUUUUAUAUUAAAUUCCUUUAUGGAGUCCAAAAGCCAAAUGGACUUUUAUACAAUUGCUCUAAACAUGCCUAACAGCCUAAAAAUAAGUAGUCUCUACACUCAAACAGUCACAAAACAUUUAUAAGUAUGUGAUUAAGAUACUUACAAACAGGCAAAAGGUAGUAGUGCUUAGACCCAUAUUGGUCCGCUCCAAUGUGAUCAGGCAGGUAUUAGCAAUGAACCCCUUAAGAGUUUAUUG